rnacentral:lncRNA from 1 species
GGCGGGCCUGCCCGCUUCCGUUCCUGCUCCGCGUGAGGAGAGUCGCGAAGCGCGCGCGGAGACGCGGCAGCAAUUGCUUUGCUGCCCUUCCUCUCCUUGGAAGAUGGCAAGGCCUACCAUCCUUUCUUCCGGCCUUUGGGCCGUCAGGCAGUUGGUUGGGACCCGCCCCUACCUUCGAUUUUUCCUGCAAUACAGUGGAUACAAUUUGUCAUGGCUACUCUGAGGUAUGUUUAUUUAAUUGCAUGUAACUAAACCAGUAUAAACAAAAUUC